rnacentral:lncRNA from 1 species
AUGACCCCGAGAUGUUUGCUUCUGCUCUCUGUUGUUUGUUUUCUGCUGCAGGUGUUGGAGGUGAUCCAGGAGGACCUGAGAGUUCCAGCCAAGAUGACUGUGGAUCCAGGGCUGCAAGGAGGAUGGUGCAGCCCAUCAGCCUGGCAUAGGACUCGAGCCCCUGAGAGACUUGAAGAGAGAGAGGUUUUUCAGGACAAGCCAAGAUGCAAGAAACAAGGCUAGAGACCUGACCUGCCUAUCAAUCAAGAAGAAGGUUCCAAAUGGAAUGUUCCCAGGGGAGGCAGGCCACAGGAGGAGAAGAAGCAGGAUCUAAAACUUCUGACUCUGUCUCUGGCCCUGGCAGUUGAGCCUGAGUAAAGGGGAAGAAGCUAAGAACUACCUCUCUAUGUAUAACAUAUUAUGUAUAAUAUAAUAAUGAUAAGAUAAAAACUAUGAUAAUGAUAAAAAUUUUAAUAGUUACAAAUAUCAUAUUUUUAUGUAGAAACAAUUUGACCUUGUUGAGUUCCUUAAUUUUUUUCUUUCUUAUUUACCUUUUUAUGCUUCUCUUUAAUUUUGUGUUUGGACAUCAGAUUUUCUGUUUGUGUCUGGUUUUCCUUCAGGAAUGCUUGGAUUUUCCCCUGAAAGAAUAUAAUUUUGAUGGGUAGGUGAUUCUUGGUUGUAAACCCAAUUCCCUUACCUUCUAGAAUAUCAUAUUCCAAGUCUUCUGAUCCUUGAAUAUAGAAGCUGCCAGAUACUGUGAAAUCCUGACAGGGGUCCUAUGAUAUUGGAAUUGUUUCUUUCUGGCUGGUUGUAGUAUUUUCACUUUGACCUGGAGCAAUUAAACUUGGCUAUAAAUAUUCCUGGGAGUUGUUAUUUGGAGAUUUAUUGUAGGAGUUGAUCUGUGGAUUUAUUCAAUUUCUAUUUUUUAUUUUACCCACUUGUUCAAGAAUAUCAGGACAAGGAGCAGCUGGGUAGCUCAGUGGAUUAACUCUCAGUAGAGAGUUAGGCCUAGAGAUGGGAGGUCCUAGGUUCAAAUCUGACCUCAGACACUUCCCAGAUGUGUGACCCUGGGCAAGUCACUUAACCCCCAUUGCUAGCUUUUAUCACUCUUCUGCUG